AACGAACGCUGGCGGCAUGCCUAACACAUGCAAGUCGAACGAGACCUUCGGGUCUAGUGGCGCACGGGUGCGUAACGCGUGGGAAUCUGCCCUUGGGUUCGGAAUAACAGUUGGAAACGACUGCUAAUACCGGAUGAUGACUUAAGUCCAAAGAUUUAUCGCCCAGGGAUGAGCCCGCGUAGGAUUAGCUAGUUGGUGGGGUAAAGGCCUACCAAGGCGACGAUCCUUAGCUGGUCUGAGAGGAUGAUCAGCCACACUGGGACUGAGACACGGCCCAGACUCCUACGGGAGGCAGCAGUGGGGAAUAUUGGACAAUGGGCGAAAGCCUGAUCCAGCAAUGCCGCGUGAGUGAUGAAGGCCUUAGGGUUGUAAAGCUCUUUUACCCGGGAUGAUAAUGACAGUACCGGGAGAAUAAGCCCCGGCUAACUCCGUG
rnacentral:rRNA from 1 species